UUUGGGGCCAAAAAGGGGUCUUACUGAACCUACUCCUUUGGUCAAGUAGUUUCAGAGAAAAAGAUUUUUGUACAAGUUACAAAAAAUGAGGAAAAGUUGUUAAAAAUUGACUAUAAAGGGCAAUAAUUCCUUAAGGGGUUGACUGACAAUUUUGGUCAUCUGACUUAUUUGUAGGUCUUACUUUGCUGAACAUUAUUGCUGUUUACAGUUUAUCUCUAUCUAUAAUAGUAUUCCAGAUAAUAACCAAAAACUGCAAAAUUUCCUUAAAAUAACCAAUUCAGGGGUAGCAACCCAAGAACAGGUUGUCCGGACGCACAAGCGACGGACGCCAAGUGAUGAGAAAAGCUCACUUGACCUUUCAGGUCAGGUGAGCUAAAAAGGGGUUAUUUAACCUUUACAUAAAUGUAAAAGGACUUUCCCUUUCUACUGUUUCUAGACUUAAAUGAUUAUGCAUAUAAGUAUAUUAGAUUAUUGGGUUUUCUACACAUUAAAUAUCAGUUGCAAGAGAGUGCAAAAUGGCUUCCCCUUACAAGGUGUGCCUAAAAAUUUCCAUAACUAUGCGUAGAAAACCAUACAAUGAAUUUAUCACACAAAGGAAUUUCUGCUGCAUCUUGUAAAAAAAAUAAACAAUGAAACACAACAAAAUUAAAAGAUGAAGCCAUCAUUAACAGAAGAUGUGACGUCAUGAACCCCAUAUAAAAUUUACCAACCCCCUAAGAAUUCAUAGGGGGUCAUCAAAUGACACUUUUAAACCUAUCACAAAAUCAUAAUUUACCCGCAAUGAAAUAAGAGUAAUUUCAAAAUGUGGAUGAUUUGUUGUCCAUUCUAAACCUAACACCUCUAAAUGAGAACCUAAGUAACCAAAAAACAAUAAAUUGUUACAAAUUCUAACAACGAUUUUUUAACAGAUUGAUAUGAUAACAUGCAGUAAAUAUCAAGUGUAGAAAAAUAAAAAUAAAAUACCAGAAAACUGACAGCAAGCCCUGAGCAAUGAUUAUGUAAUAAUGCAAAUACUUCCUUUGCUAAUUUU
rnacentral:lncRNA from 1 species